rnacentral:rRNA from 1 species
UACAGAGGUCCCGAGCGUUGUUCGGAUUCACUGGGCGUAAAGGGUGCGUAGGUGGCGAGGUAAGUCGGAUGUGAAAGCUCGGAGCUCAACUCCGAAAUGGCAUUGGAAACUACCUUGCUCGAGGGUUGGAGGGGGGGGACUGGAAUUCUCGGUGUAGCAGUGAAAUGCGUAGAUAUCGAGAGGAACACCAGUGGCGAAGGCGGGUCUCUGGACAGUUCCUGACACUGAGGCACGAAGGCCAGGGGAGCAAACGGG